UCUUAGAAAAAAGGGUUCAUGGGGGUGCUAUAUAGAACCAUGGGGGUCUUAGCCAAGGAGAUAGAACCCUUUUGCCUAAAAAGGGUGCUAUUUCAUACACGUGAGGGUUAUUUGAACUUCAACGACCGUUUAUGGAACCUUUCUGAAGACGUUCAUUCUUCACUGGAUUUAACGGUAAGUGACACACAACCCUAAUCCCUUUCAUUUCAAUCAUAAUCAUUACCCGUGUUGUCUGCAAAUCAAAGCCAGAAAUUAUGCCUCUUAAGUAAAAAACAAGGGGCGUUCUUCAUAAACGUCAGUGGGCGUUAACCGGUCAGCUGUUAGCUAGAAUCUAUAAAUUCGUUGUCUCUGAAUGAUUUUAGCAGCAGCUAGCUAUCCUAUCCUGUCACCCUACUGGAUCCAUCAUUAAGAUUAGUUUUCUACUUCCUUGUCAGGCUGACAAUAAAAUCAACUAUCGAUUAUAUGAUUUUGAGCUUGUAUCCACUAUUGUUGUUCAAUGAUAUUCACUGUCCUCCCGGCUCCCGAUAAGUUAAGCUAACUAAAUUUAGCGUGCUAGUUGCCAUUAACUAGCUAGCUACAAACGUCAGCCAGCAAUGCAAAAUCAGAAUGAUAUGGCAGUAACUACUUCAUUACCAGGCUAUCUAGUUAAAUUACAGGAAACCAGCCAUCAAGUACAUAUAAUUGAGUUGUAUCAUUGUCAACACAAGUUUUUUGUUUUAUUUUUCGUUUUAAAGAACAGGAAAUUGAUGGAGACUACUGGGCCUCACUGAACGGAUGGUUGAAGAACUAUCCCCGUCUAUGAAAUUGCAGGUGAUGUUUGUGAAGGAACUGAACUAGCUCCUAGAACAACAUGAAGUUGGAUUGCCCCUGGACCAUGCUGACAGCAUAGGCAAAAGACUGUCCUGUCUAGACUGUCCUGUGCCAGUGUUGAGAAUGAUGCUUCGACAAAGACCAUGCUCGUCUUCUUUGACCCAACCAUGGCCAACAGUAUUCAGUCUGCCCACCUUCCCCCCAGAAAAAGUACCCAAACCAUAAAAAAUAUACAGAUGUUCUGGGAUCUCAUCACCAGAUUUCCGUUUCUUGGAGAACACAGCUCCUCUGAGAGAAAAUAAGUGCAGAUUGGAAAACGCAGUCCAGAUGCUUUCUGGGAAUUAUCCAACACAAGAGGAACCACCCAACUCAUUUCCGGUCAUCAGCCUCCACGAUGCAGACUCCCCUCCUUGCCAGGAGAGCAUCCAUUAUGAUGGAUGGCGUCACCAUUAUA